CUCUCAAUCCAAUUUAUGGUCAACCCAAAUUACGGAGUGGCCCAUACGAGUAUUAGGGUUCCGCAUUUCACGAAAGGCAGCCCUAUAAAUUCGACAAACGAGGGUUUUACAUCAUUACCAUCAGGUUUCUGAACCUGUGAAAUCCGCCAUUGUUCCUGGAAAACGUGAGAACCUUCGUCAGCCAACAUGAGAGCUAAGUGGAAGAAGAAGCGCAUGAGGAGAUUGAAGAGGAAGCGCCGAAAGAUGAGACAGAGAUCUAAGUAGAGGCUUGUAUUCCGAAUGAGACUAGCUUCUUCCACCUGAUGUAAGACUGGCCUCUGGUCUUCUAAGGCUGUUAUGCAUAGGGGAAGGGGGUUCUCUCUAGACUUUUAGUUUAGCAGUAUUGAAAUUAAAGACUUAUUAUGAGUGUGUUUAGCUGUAAUUCUGACAGUUUUUGGUAUUAAAACAUGUACUGAGUACUUGUUUUUCUAUAUUUAUUGGUAUCUGAAUGACUUAUAUUAGUAUUUCUA